UUGGAAGUGUGUCUACUGUUG
rnacentral:siRNA from 1 species